GAACUCUACUGUUGCGAGAGCCAGAAGCGGAGUCGACUGGGGAGCGGCAGCCGUUGAUCUUGCGCCGCAAGGACACGAACUCGGCAGGGGAACCACAAUAAGGAACUGGCUGGAGGGCUGAGUGAUGAAGAGGACAGCUGUGGCUCCUGAGGGCAAAAGAGGGGCUGCAGAGGAGACACUGAUGGGGUGUAGCUGCUGGAAGGAGCGUUGGCCUGACCGAGCUAAUCCCCAGCGCUGCCAGGAGGUGAUGCCAUCCAGUGGGUAUUUGCAGAAUGUCAUUCCCAUUCAAGGCGAUUAUUGGAAUUACCUGAUGCACUUCAGAGGUGCAGCAGGCAAAGAGCAGCUGGAGAUUCCAGAGCUGAUACUUUACUUCCCUC